GUGCUUGCUUCGGCAGCACAUAUAUUAAAAUUGGAAGGAUACAAAGAAGAUUAGCAUGGGCCCUGUGCAAGGAUAACAUGCAAAUUCGUGAAGUGUUCCACAUUUUU
ensembl:snRNA U6 U6 spliceosomal RNA